rnacentral:rRNA from 1 species
UACAGAGGUCUCAAGCGUUGUUCGGAUUCAUUGGGCGUAAAGGGUGCGUAGGCGGCGCGGUAAGUCGGGUAUGAAAUCUCGGAGCUUAACUUCCGAAACUGCAUUCGAUACUGCCGUGCUUGAGGACUGGAGAGGAGACUGGAAUUUACGGUGUAGCGGUGAAAUGCGUAGAUAUCGUAAGGAAGACCAGUGGCGAAGGCGGGUCUCUGGACAGUUCCUGACGCUGAGGCACGAAGGUCAGGGGGAGCAAACGGGG